GCCAGGGCAAUGUGCUCCGCGGAAGUAAACACUCUACAGAACCCAUUUCCUAAAGGGAGCCUCAGCCUCAGCUCUCUGAAGGGGAGGAAUCUGCAGUGGUGGUCGCCAGACCGGGAGCCGCGGAGCAUGCUGGCAGUUUUAAGGGAAUCAAUUUCCAGAUCCUCAAAUUCUGUAUUUUCUCAAACUGCCUGAGAACGUGACUGAAUUCACAACGCCCUUCCCCAUGCACAGAGGUGCGGCCCCCCGCCCUGCCGCACUGGCUGCAGGUUUUCACUGGGGCACAGAGACCGCCUUGCGAGGGGAGACAAACCCUUCCAGGGUCACCGGCCCUGCCGCCUCCCGGCCCCUGAGUGGGGUGUUCUGAAUUUUGAACUGAAGUGUGUUCAUGACACAUGCAAUUUUUAAAAGUGUAAAUGGGACUUUUCCAGAAUUAAAAAAAAA